rnacentral:rRNA from 1 species
CGAAGGGGGCUAGCGUUGCUCGGAAUUACUGGGCGUAAAGGGCGCGUAGGCGGACAGUUUUAGUCAGAGGUAAAAGCCCAGGGCUCAACCUUGGAACUGCCUUUGAUACUGACUGUCUUGAGUUCGGGAGAGGUGAGUGGAAUGCCGAGUGUAGAGGUGAAAUUCGUAGAUAUUCGGCGGAACACCAGUGGCGAAGGCGACUCACUGGCCCGAUACUGACGCUGAGGCGCGAAAGCGUGGGGAGCAAAACAGGAUUAGAUACCCUGGUAGUCCACGCUGUAAACGAUGAGUGCUAGUUGUCGGCAUGCAUGCAUGUCGGUGACGCAGCUAACGCAUUAAGCACUCCGCCUGGGGAGUACGGUCGCAAGAUUA